GUUGACGUUAAAGCUCGUAGUCGACUUUCGGCCUCAGCCAACCGGUCCGCUCAAUGAGUGUGUACUGGAUUUGGUUGGGGCUUUACCUCCUGGUGAUCCGGCAUGGCCUUUAUUGGUUGUGUCGAGGAACCCGGAAUUUUACUUUGAAUAAAUCAGAGUGUUCAAAGCAGGCAUGUUUGCCCGAAUGUUACAGCAUGGAAUAAUAGAAUAGGAUGUGUGCCUCUAUUGGUCUUUUAGAGGCACCUUAAUGAGAAAUAGGGGCGGCUCGGGGGCAUUUGUAUUCAAUUGCUAGAGGUGAAAUUCUUGGAUUUAUUGAAGACAAACUAUUGCGAAAGCAUUUGCCAAGGACGCUUUCAUUGAUCAAGAACGAAGGUCGGGGGAUCGAAAACGAUUAGAUACCGUUGUAGUCUCGACAGUAAACUAUGCCAACCGGCGAUGGGUGGGGGUUUUCUUAAUGACCCCAUCUGCAGCCAAAGAGAAAUCUUGAGUGCGGUUCGUGGGGGAGUACGGUCACAAGGCUGAAACUUAAAGGAAUUGACGGAAGGGCACCACCAGGAGUGGAGCCUGCGGCUUAAUUUGACUCAACACGGGGAAACUCACCAGGUCCAGACACAAUUAGGAUUGACAGAUUGAUAGCUCUUUCUUGAUCUUGUGGUUGGUGGUGCAUGGCCGUUCUUAGUUGGUGGAGUGAUUUGUCUGGUUAAUUCCGAUAACGAACGAGACCUUAACCUGCUAAAUAGCCCGGCCGACUUUGGUUGGUCGCUGGCUUCUUAGAGGGACUAUCGACGUUUAGUCGAUGGAGUUUGAGCAUAACAGGUCUGUGAUGCCCUUAGAUGUUCUGGGCCGCACGCGCGCUACACUGAC
rnacentral:rRNA from 1 species